rnacentral:rRNA from 1 species
GAUCAUGGCUCAGGAUGAACGCUGGCGGCGUGCCUAAUACAUGCAAGUCGAGCGAACAGAUAAGGAGCUUGCUCCUUGACGUUAGCGGCGGACGGGUGAGUAACACGUGGGUAACCUACCUAUAAGACUGGGAUAACUUCGGGAAACCGGAGCUAAUACCGGAUAACAUUUGGAACCGCAUGGUUCUAAAGUGAAAGAUGGUUUUGCUAUCACUUAUAGAUGGACCCGCGCCGUAUUAGCUAGUUGGUAAGGUAACGGCUUACCAAGGCGACGAUACGUAGCCGACCUGAGAGGGUGAUCGGCCACACUGGAACUGAGACACGGUCCAGACUCCUACGGGAGGCAGCAGUAGGGAAUCUUCCGCAAUGGGCGAAAGCCUGACGGAGCAACGCCGCGUGAGUGAUGAAGGGUUUCGGCUCGUAAAACUCUGUUAUUAGGGAAGAACAAAUGUGUAAGUAACUGUGCACGUCUUGACGGUACCUAAUCAGAAAGCCACGGCUAACUACGUGCCAGCCGCGGC